AAGACCUUGCGCUUUUGGAGCGGCCGAUGUCUGAUUAGCUAGUUGGUGGGGUAAUGGCCUACCAAAGCUUCGAUCAGUAGCUGGUCUGAGAGGACGGCCAGCCACACUGGGACUGAGACACGGCCCAGACUCCUACGGGAGGCAGCAGUGGGGAAUUUUGGACAAUGGGCGCAAGCCUGAUCCAGCCAUGCCGCGUGAGUGAAGAAGGCCUUCGGGUUGUAAAGCUCUUUCGGCCGGGAAGAAAAGGCUGCGACUAAUAAUCGCAGUUCAUGACGGUACCGGAAGAAGAAGCACCGGCUAACUACGUGCCAGCAGCCGCGGUAAUACGUAGGGUGCGAGCGUUAAUCGGAAUUACUGGGCGUAAAGGGUGCGCAGGCGGUUUUGUAAGUCAGAUGUGAAAUCCCCGGGCUUAACCUGGGAACU
rnacentral:rRNA from 1 species